rnacentral:tRNA from 1 species
ACAAUGGUAGUUCAGUGGCAGAAUUCUUGCCUUCCAUGUGAGAGACCCAGGUUCGAUUCCUGGCCAAUGAG